GAUGAAGAACGUAGCGAAAUGCGAUACGUAGUGUGAAUUGCAGAAUUCAGUGAACCAUCAAAUCUUUGAACGCAUAUUGCGCUCGAGGCUUCGGCCGAGAGCAUGUCUGCCUCAGCGUCGGUAUUACCCCUCGCUUCUCAACCCCUGGUUGAUGCCUGCCUGCCUUUGCAGUUGGCUAGAAGCGGAUCUGGCUUUCCCAAUUGCCUUUGGUAGUUGGGUCAGCUGAAGCACAGAGGCUUGAGCAAGGACCCUUAUUGGGCUUCAACUGGAUAGGUAGAACUGGUCUUAGGACCAACUACACGAAGUUGUUGCUUGUGGUCUUUGUCUGGAGGCCAGCAGGAAACCUUUAUACCUUCGACCUGAGCUCAGGCAAGACUACCCGCUGAACUUAAGCAUAUCAAUAAGCGGAGGA
rnacentral:misc_RNA from 1 species